AUACUGAGGAGAACUGAGAGAGACUGGGUAGCUUCCGGUGCUUCCCCAGGCCCCCAGCCCCAUCCCUCAGCUGAGGACUGCACCUCCCUCUCCCACCCAGGCUGUACCUGUCACUGCCCUCCAUUCCACCAGGCUCAGCACACAGUAGGGCCUUAGUCAGUUUGCCCUUAUACCUGUAUGCUCUGGACAGAUUCAAAGCACUUUCUCCUAACUACCCACAGGGCGCCAUCUCUCCGCCACUACCCCGAUGCACACACACUCCCAGUGGGGCUGGGGAGAGUUCCCCGACCCUGGACCCAAAUCAGGCACUUUGUCCUGAGCGAGCCCCUCCUGUUGCCUCAUUGACCCACUCAAAGUCCAUUUAUUCUUCCUUUUGACACAGUGCUGAUGCCUUGGGUGCUUCCAUUUCCUAGGCUGGAGGGGAAUUAGAAAGGUGCGUGGGAGGAGAGAGGGCCCAGGAAGAGAGAAGACAGGUGGUAAGUUGAUUUUGUCGAUAACAUUUGCAGCCAAAUUUCAAGGGAGGCCCUAGAGCCACUGUAUAACACAGACGUGACACCUAUGGGGCGCUUGUUGAAGGACACACGGAUGCUCUGCUGGUUUGGUGGCUGUGAUGACUUCAUGCAAAUGGCAGCUACAUUUGUAUGAUACUUUGUUAAAGCAAACUAGGUAUAAAUAAAGAUUCAUGCCCAAA
rnacentral:lncRNA from 1 species